UAUAGAGGGUGCAAGCGUUAAUCGGAAUUACUGGGCGUAAAGCGCGCGUAGGUGGUUUGUUAAGUUGAAUGUGAAAUCCCCGGGCUCAACCUGGGAACUGCAUGCAAAACUGGCAAGCUAGAGUAUGGUAGAGGGUGGUGGAAUUUCCUGUGUAGCGGUGAAAUGCGUAGAUAUAGGAAGGAACACCAGUGGCGAAGGCGACCACCUGGACUGAUACUGACACUGAGGUGCGAAAGCGUGGGGAGCAAACAGG
rnacentral:rRNA from 1 species